CCUACGGGAGGCAGCAGUGAGGAAUAUUGGUCAAUGGGCGCAAGCCUGAACCAGCCAAGUCGCGUGAGGGACGACUGCCCUAUGGGUUGUAAACUUCUUUUAUAAGGGAAUAAUGUAUGGUACGUGUGCCAUUAUGCAUGUACCUUAUGAAUAAGCAUCGGCUAACUCCGUGCCAGCAGCCGCGGUAAUACGGAGGAUUCGAGCGUUAUCCGGAUUUAAUGGGUUUAAAGGGUGCGUAGGCGGGUUUGUAAGUUAGUUGUUAAACCUUGCGGCUCAACCCUAGAAUUGCAUUUAAUACUGGCAGACUGGAGUACAGAUGAGGUAGGCGGAAUACGUGGAGUAGCGGUGAAAUGCUUAGAUAUAACGAAGAACUCCGAUAGCGAAGGCAGCUUACCAGACUGCCACUGACGUUGAAGCACGAGAGUGUGGGUAGCGAACAGGAUUAGAUACCCGGGUAGUC
rnacentral:rRNA from 1 species